AUACUUACCUGGUAGAGGAGACACCAUGAUCAUGAAGGUGAUUUUCCCAGGGUGAGGGUCAUCCAUUGUACUCUGGAUAUGCUGACCUCUGCAAUUUCCCAAAAUGUGGGAAACUGGACUGCAUUUGUGCUUUCC
rnacentral:snRNA from 1 species